CCGCCAGUGGUGUAAUGGUGUAGAGCACUCCCGCAAGGUCAGAGGAAGCUGCGGGUUCGAGUCCCGCCUGGCGCU
rnacentral:tRNA from 1 species